rnacentral:rRNA from 1 species
UACGGGGGGGGCAAGCGUUGUUCGGAAUUACUGGGCGUAAAGGGCGCGUAGGCGGCGAUAAUAGUCAGAAGUGAAAGCCCGGGCUCAACCUGGGAAUUGCUUUUGAUACUGUAUUGCUUGAGUUCGGGAGAGGUGAGUGGAAUUCCCAGUGUAGAGGUGAAAUUCGUAGAUAUUGGGAAGAACACCGGUGGCGAAGGCGACUACCUGGCCUGUUCUUGACGCUGAGGCGCGAAAGCUAGGGGAGCAAACGGGG